AGAGUUUGAUCCUGGCUCAGAUUGAACGCUGGCGGAAUGCUUUACACAUGCAAGUCGAGCGGCAGCGCGGGGCAACCUGGCGGCGAGCGGCGAACGGGUGAGUAAUGCAUCGGAACAUGUCCAUUCGUGGGGGAUAGCCCGGCGAAAGCCGGAUUAAUACCGCAUACGCCCUGAGGGGGAAAGUGGGGGACCGCAAGGCCUCACGCGAAUGGGUUGGCCGAUGUCCGAUUAGCUAGUUGGUGGGGUAAAGGCUUACCAAGGCGAUGAUCGGUAGCUGGUCUGAGAGGAUGAUCAGCCACACUGGGACUGAGACACGGCCCAGACUCCUACGGGAGGCAGCAGUGGGGAAUUUUGGACAAUGGGGGCAACCCUGAUCCAGCCAUUCCGCGUGAGUGAAGAAGGCCUUCGGGUUGUAAAGCUCUUUUGUCCGGAACGAAACGGAUGACGUGAAUAUCGUCGUCUACUGACGGUACCGGAAGAAUAAGCACCGGCUAACUACGUGCCAGCAGCCGCGGUAAUACGUAGGGUGCGAGCGUUAAUCGGAAUUACUGGGCGUAAAGCGUGCGCAGGCGGUUUUGUAAGCCAGAUGUGAAAUCCCCGGGCUUAACCUGGGAAUGGCAUUUGGGACUGCAAGGCUGGAGUGCGGCAGAGGAGACUGGAAUUCCUGGUAGCAGUGAAAUGCGUAGAUAUCAGGAGGAAUACCGAUGGCGAAGGCAGGUCUCUGGGCUGACACUGACGCUCAUGCACGAAAGCGUGGGGAGCAAACAGGAUUAGAUACCCCCGUAGUCC
rnacentral:rRNA from 1 species